rnacentral:lncRNA from 1 species
ACCCUCAGAGAAAGAGAGAGUCUUUGGAGAGUUGUGAGGAGAUAAGUGACAUAAACUGGCAUGUUCUGAAAGAAUCACUCUGGAUGCUGUGUGGAGAAAACACUGAAAAGAAUUCUAGAGUGAAAGUUUCAUGAAUAUAAGAAGCAAGACAAGGAAGUGGCUUAUGCUUAAGGCCUUAAAGGCAACCACUGUGACAAUCCAGCCAUUCUCUGGAGAAUUCAGCAGAAAGCCAGUUGGAAGGUUUGAAAUGGAAAUUACAAGCGCAAUAUUACAGAAGUGUGGAUUUUAGUUACAAUGUCUCUAUGAGAAAGUCUAAAAGUUAAACAUAAGCAAAACAACAAAAACAUCUAAAUACCAGACACUAUCCUCAGAAAUUAGAUUUGAAAAAUGAGCUUCAUUUUCGAAGAACAUAUUUCUUUAUAGGGGGAGAAUAAUUGACUCCAUUCAAGUGUUCGCUCCUGUUUCAAUCAACUAUGGCUGAAGAGUGAGGAGACAUUUGGAAUAAAUAUGGCUUCUGGGGGCCCAUUCCUAUGGAUCAGCAGCUGGCUUCUGGAGGCCCAUUCCUGUGAAUCGUCGAUCUCAUAGAAGAUAAUAUUGUUAGAAGGCUUACCUCAUUGAUGCUGAACAUCCUAAAAAGCUUCUGCUGCUUUGAGUCACUGAAAAAGACCAAGAAACAUGAAUUUAAAAAAAAAUUUCAAAUGUUAUAAAAUAAAUAAUAUGAACUCAUUAUACCUACAAUGAAUAAUUUAAAUUCUUCUUUGGUAGUCCAGGUUUAGAAACUAUGAAAACCCUAGAAGAAAACCUAGGCAAUGCCAUUCAGGACAUAGGCACGGACAAAGAUUUCAUGACGAAGACGCCAAAAACAACUGCAACAAAAGCAAAAAUUGACAGAUGGGAUCUCAUUAAACUAAAGAGCUUCCAUACAGCAAAAGAAGCUACCAUGAGAGUGAACAGACAACCUAUAGAAAGGGAGAAAAAUUUUGCAAUCUGUUCAUCUGACAAAGGUCUAAUAUCCAGCAUCUACAAGGAACUUAAAUAAAUUUACAAGAAAAAAACAAACCCAUUAGAAAAUGGGCAAAGGACAUGAAAAGAUACUUCUCAAAAGACAUACAUGUGGCCAACAAUCAUACAAAAAAAACCUCAACAUCACUGAUGAUUAGAAAAAUGCUAAUCAAAACCACAACGAGAUACCAUCUCAUACCUGUCAGAAUGGCUAUUAAUAAAAAGUUAAAAAACAACAGAUGCUGGUGAGGUUGUUGAGAAAAAGGAAUACUGUUAUACUGUUGGUGGGAAUGUAAAUUAGUUCAACCAUUGUGGGAGACAGUGUGGCAUUUCCUCAAAGACCUAGAGGCAGAAAUACCAUUUGACUCAGCAAUCACGUUACUGGAUAUAUACCCAAAGGAAUAUAAAUCAUUCUAUUAUAAAGAUACAUGCAUGCGCAUGUUCACUGCAGCAUUAUUCACAAUAGCAAAGACAUGGAAUCAACCCAAAUGCCCAUCAAUAACACACUAGAUAAAGAAAAUGUGGUAUAUAUACACCAUGGAAUACUAUUCAGCCAUAAAAAGGAAUGAAAUCAAGUCCUUUGCAGGAACAUGAAUGAAGCUGAAGGCCAUCAUCUUCAGCAAACUAACACAGGAACAGAAAAUAAAAUACCACAUAUUCUCACUUACAACUGGGAGCUGAAUGAUGAGAACAUAUGGACACAUAUAGGGGCACAACACACACUGGGGCCUGUUGGAGGGUGCUGGGGGGAGGAGGCAGAGCAUCAGGAAGAAUAGCUAAUGGAUUCUGGGCUUAAUACCUAAGUGAUGAGAUGAUCUGUGCAGCAAACUACCAUAGUACAUGUUUACCUAUGUAACAAACCUGUACGUCCUGCACAUGUACCCCUGAACAUUAAAAAAGUGUGUUUAAAUUGUGAGAUAAGGAUUCAAGAGGGCCUCUUGCUUCACUAUUGUUCACUUUCCUAGCUUUAAGUUUUCUCUUCUAUUUAUCAUAAGUAUUUAUCCUUAAAUGCCAUGUCAAAUGAUGACUGGUUAAUUAAUUAUUAUUAUUUUUUAGUUCAAAGGGUCCCUUCUAAUGUUAUUUAUCUUUUAACAAGGGAAGACAGGAAUAUUUUCAAGAUCCAAGUAUUUAAAAAGGUGGAAGUGAGAUAGGAUCGGGGUUUGGAAUGAAGUAGAAAGAAAAGGAAACAUGUAAAAAUGUAAAAUCACCAUGUAGGAGCCCAACAUAUCCAAUAUAAGCUAUACUGCUUUGGGUUAUCUAGCUCAUAAUUUUUCUUUGCCUAAUUUCUCUACUUAGAAAUACCAUGUCACUUACGGUGUGUUUUUAAUUGAGGAAAGUUAAUUACUAACUAUUGUUUUGUAAAACUCAUAUGCCAAUUUAUUCUAGGCUAAAAUCAACUUGGCAGAUAAUUAUUUUUAAAUAACAAACAAAAGACCUUUCCUUUCUGAUGCUUUUCCCAAAACAUGCAAUAUAAACCAAAGAGUAAAACAAAAUAAUGUGUUACACUUCUCUUCAACUAGUCUACCAUCACUUCUGUUUAACUGGUUUGAUACAUUCAUGAAAAAUUUCCUUUAAAAGACAUAUUCUUCUAAAACUAAUUUAAAAUAAAACUCUUAUUAAUAUUUUCAAUUCCUACCACUAUCAAUUAUUUGGAAUUAGACCAGGUUAAGAAUUUAAAACUUUGCCUAUCAUUUUGUAUUUUAAAGUCAUGGGUAUUGAUAAGGGACUAAUAUUUAGGAAUUAUUUUAUGUCUUUCAUUUCCUUAUCUUCUCAGUUAACAGGUAUGCUGAGCCUUUGCUAUUUUCACAAUAAACUGAUUACUUGGUUGAUUUAGGUAGCAAAAAAGAUAAUGAACCUGUAUCAAAUUUCUACUUACAUUAUUUUAUGCAUAGUAAAUAAAAAUUUCAUUGCUGUGCAUCCUCUUACUAGUAACUACAAAUUUUAUAAAAAUACAAUUUUUUAAUUAUUUUGCCACUGAAGCUGCAAUGACUAGCAGAAUGUCUGGCAUAUAACAAGUGCAGAAUUAUUUUUAAUAGAUUUAUUGAGGUAUAUUAAUAUACAAUAAAAUGCCCACAUUUAAAUUGUUUUGACAUUUUGACAAUUGUUUUGACACACAAAAUAAGUUUUGACACAUGUACAGACUCAUAAAGCCCUCACCAAAAUCAAGGUAAUCAACAUAUUCAUUACUCCCAAAAGUUUCCUCAUGCUUUCUUUGUAAUCUCGCCCAGCAAUCACCCCGCACCCCAUCCCCAUGCAACCAGUGAUCUGUUUUCUGUCACCAUAGAUUAGUUUGCAGUUUCUAGAAUUUGAUAUAAGUGAAAUCGAACAGUAUAUAUUGUUUUCUGCCUGGCUUCUUUCACUCAGCUUAAUUAUUUUGAGAUUCAUUUGUCAUGUGCGAAACCAUAGCUUAUUUAUUUUUAUUCCUUUUGUUGACUAGUAUUCUAUUGUAUGGCUGUACUACAGUUUGUUUAUCCAUUCAUCUGUUGAUGAACAUUUGAGUCGUUCCCAGUUUUCGGCUUUUACAGAUUAAGCUACUGUGAUGAUGGGUACAUAAGUCUUUAUAUAGACAUACUUUCAUUUUUCUGGGGUGACACUUCAGAGUAGGAUGGCUGGAUCAUACAGUAGGUGUAUGUUUGACUUUUUAACAGACUGCCAAACUGUUCUCCAAAGUGAUUCUACUAUUUAACAUUUUUAUCUGCAUUGUAUAGCAUUCUCCCUUCCUCUCACUGUUGGUAUGGUCAGUCUUUUGAAUUUUAGCCACUCUCAUAGGUAUACAGUGGUAUCUCAUUGUGGUUUUGUUUUUCCCUAAUGUUUAAUGAUGUUUAGCAUUCAUACAUUUUUUUUUUUUGCCAUCUGUUCAUCAUUUUUAGUGAAGUGUCUUCAUGUCUUUUUCCCAUUUGGUAUAGGAAGGGAGUUGGUUGUUUUCUUAUUAGUUAGCUUUAAGAGCUCUUUGUAUAUUCUGGAUAUUAGUCCUUUAUGAGACAUACGAUUUCAAAUAUUUUCUCCCAUUCAGUGGCUUAUCUUUUCAGUCCUUUAACAGUGUCUUUCAAAGAGCAGAAGUUUAUGAUUUUGCUGAAGUCCAAGUUAUCAGUUUUAUAUGGAUUGUAUUUUGAGUCAACCCUAAAAAAAAAAAAUUGCCUGACUGAAGGUCAUAAAGAUUUUCUCCUAUAUUUUCUUCUAGAAGUUUUAUAGUUUUAGGUUUUAUAUUUAGGUCUGUGUUCCAUUUUGAGUUAAUUUGAAGGGUUUUUUUGUAUAUGGAUGUCCGAUUGUUUCAGCAUUAUUUGUUGAAAAUAUGACUCUUUCUCCACCGAAUUGCUUUUGCGUCUUUGUGGAAAAUUCAGUUAUUUAUACACAAGUGGGUCUGUUUCUGAACUCUGUCUCCUGUUCCAUUGAUCUAUCUGUUAUUUAUGCCAAUACCACACUGUCUUGAUUACUGUGGUUAUAUACUACUCUUAAAAUAUUCAACUUUCUUCUGUGUUUUCAAAAUUGUUUCAGAUCUUCUAGUUUCUUUGUUUUUCCAUAUGAACUUUAGAAUCAGCUUAUCUCUUUUUGUUUGUUUGUUUUUUGAGAGAGAGCCUCACUCUGUCACCCAGGCUGGAAUGCAGUGCCAAUGAUCACGGCUCACCACAGCCUCAACCUCCUGGGCUCAGGUGAUCCUCCCACCUCAGCCUCCCGAAUAGCUGGGACUAUAGGCACACACCACCAUGCCCAACUAAUUUUUGUAGUUUUUGUAGAGACAGGGCUUUGCCAUGUUGCCCAGGCUGGUCUCAGACUCCUGGGCUCAAGCAAUCCUCCCACGUCCACCUCGCAAAGUGCCAGGAUUACAGGCAUAAGCCACCAUGCCUGUCCCAGCUUAUCAAUUUCUACCAAAAAAAAAAAAUUGCCAGAAUUUUGCUUGACACUUUUUUUAUUCUUUAGGUCAAUCCAAGGAAAAUUGACUUAUUAUAACCAUAUUGAGACUUCUGACUCAUGG